GUAGUACCUGAGGCAGUGAGGUAACAGACAAGGAGGGGACAGCUGGCCACGGGGGGACACAGAGUGGGCAGCUCGCUGGCGGCACACACUGCCGAGAUCAGAGGAUCCUUUCAGCACAGUUGCAGCAAAGCCGGUGAAGGGAUGGAGAGGGGAAAAUUGUCAAAGAAAACGACCAAAUGUCUCUGAAGUUCUGAAGAGGGAAUUGAGUGCUAGGCUGAAAGGGUCUGCCAAUGAUUGAUAUCAACACUGAAAAAAGAAACACUGAAAUACAACUUGGUGAAGAUUUUUUAAUUUCAAGAAAGAGACCCUGGCAAUCUAAGGGGGGCAAAGGACCCAGGAACAACUGUAACGCUAAACGUAUACUGAAACCACUGCAGGCACCUAAAUCCAAAAGAUCCAUCAGUCACGUGUGUCACAGCAAGCUUGGCUGG